rnacentral:rRNA from 2 species
AAAAGAAACUAACAAGGAUUCCCUGAGUAACGGCGAGCGAAAAGGGAAUAGCCCAGCGCCGAAUCUCUUGUCCUCCGGGCAAGAAGACAUGUGGCGUUUGGGACGAGGCUUUGCCUGUGCAGAAUGGUCGUCUAAGUCCCUCUUGAACGGGGCCAUAGCCCAUGGAGGGUGCUAGGCCCGUAUGAUGACUUUAUUGUGCAGUGCGUCUCGUCCGUAGAGUCGGGUUGCUUGGGAGUGCAGCCCAAAUCAGGUGGUAAACUCCAUCUAAGGCUAAAUAUGACCACGAGACCGAUAGCGAACAAGUACCGUGAGGGAAAGUUGAAAAGAACUUUGAAGAGAGAGUUAAAAAGUACGUGAAACCUCUCGGGGGUAAGCGGGCAGAACUUGCAAGUAUUGGCUGGGAAGAUUCAGGCCUAGUGUCGGUGGCUUGUGGUGCACGUUUUGUUGCUCUUUCGGGAGUUGACUGCCGUGUGCUGUUUGGUCUGCUGACGAUGCGCCGCAUUUCUUCCUGUCAUCGGGCUGCAUGCGACUAAAUUGGCAGUUUAGGUGCUGGGUUCCUGCAAAUCCUUGUGGUUUGAGUCCUGGUUUCCAACUGCUGUUGUGGUCGUUGAAAUUACGAGUAGGCGCUUGGCGCGGUCAAAUGAUUUCGCGAGUUGGGUGCUUAUGAUAUGUGGACGGGUAACCGUAGCAUGUUGUCUGUACCUGCUGUCAGUGAGAUUAUGUUUUGGCACUGCUCUGAUUGCAAUCUAAAGCAUGCGUGGUCUGCCUGUCCCGUCCUGAAACACGGACCAAGGAGUCUAACAUGUGCGCGAGUCAUUGGGAAUGAAAACCCAAAGGCGUAAUGAAAGUGAAGAUUCGAUUGCGAAUUUGAGGAGAGAUCCCGGCUCUGUAUGGCAUUCCGAAAGGUUUGUUGUGCAGGGUGGGCGCAUCUCCGGGACGUCUAUACCUCUGAAGGUGGGGCGUACCUAGAGCGUACACGUUGGGACCCGAAAGAU